CCUGGCGGCAGCCUAACCAUGCAGUCGAGCGGUAUAGAGAAGCUUGCUUCUCUUGAGAGCGGCGGACGGGUGAGUAAUGCCUAGGAAUCUGCCUGGUAGUGGGGGAUAACGUUCGGAAACGGACGCUAAUACCGCAUACGUCCUACGGGAGAAAGCAGGGGACCUUCGGGCCUUGCGCUAUCAGAUGAGCCUAGGUCGGAUUAGCUAGUUGGUGGGGUAAUGGCUCACCAAGGCGACGAUCCGUAACUGGUCUGAGAGGAUGAUCAGUCACACUGGAACUGAGACACGGUCCAGACUCCUACGGGAGGCAGCAGUGGGGAAUAUUGGACAAUGGGCGAAAGCCUGAUCAGCCAUGCCGCGUGUGUGAAGAAGGUCUUCGGAUUGUAAAGCACUUUAAGUUGGGAGGAAGGGCCGUUACCUAAUACGUGAUGGUUUUGACGUUACCGACAGAAUAAGCACCGGCUAACUCUGUGCCAGCAGCCGCGGUAAUAACGAGGGUGCAAGCGUUAAUCGGAAUUACUGGGCGUAAAGCGCGCGUAGGUGGUUUGUUAAGUUGGAUGUGAAAUCCCCGGGCUCAACCUGGGAACUGCAUUCAAAACUGACUGACUAAAGUAUGGUAGAGGGUGGUGGAAUUUCCUGUGUAGCGGAGAAAUGCGUAGAUAUAGGAAGGAACACCAGUGGCCCACGCGACCACCUGGACUGAUACUGACACUGAGGUGCGAAAGCGUGCGGAGCAAAAGGAUUAUAUACCCUGGUAGUCCACGCCGUAAACGAUGUCAACUAGCCGUUGGUCCCUUGAGCUCUUAGGGGCGCAAUAAACGCAUUAAGUUGACCGCCUGGGGGAGUACGGGCCGCAAGGUUUAAAACUCCAAGUGAAUUUGACGGGGGGCCCGCACAAGCGGUGGGAGCAUGUGGUUUAAUUCCGAAGGCAACGCGAAAAACCCUUAACCAGGCCCUUGACAUCCAAUGAAACUUUUCUAGAGAUGGAUUGGUGCCUUUCGGGGAACAUUGAAGACAGGGUGCUGAAUGGGCUGGCCGUCAGCUCGGG
rnacentral:rRNA from 1 species